AUAUGUUAACCCAUACCUAGGCUUGGGAAUCCAAAAUUUAUUCCAAUUCUGGAACAGGAUCCUUAAGCUCAGGAAUCGUCUACUUGUUAUAGAAUCCUCUUUUCGAUGCCUUUGUGUGCAUUUUAAUAUGACUUUAAACCAUUCAAGCACAAGAAGACUCGUGCUCUGUUUUCUGUACUGCACACAUAGGGGCGUGUAGCCAUCAUAUCAUCAGAAAUGAGGGGGACAGAAAUGUCAGAAAUGCCGGCUUGCUCUGUUUCUCCUUUUCUUAGUCUAUUUAUUUUAUCUUUUUUUUUUUUUUUACUUUGUACUUUUGAUGAAAAAUACUUUAGUUUUAUUCUACUCAAGUAAACGUAAAAGUACCACAAUUUAAUUAUACUCAAGAACGUAGAAAAAAUUAAAAAAUGUACUCAAGUACUGUAACUAAAGUAUUUUUAAUUAGUUACUUUCCACCUCUGGUUACCGGGGAAACCUCGCUCUCGCCCGCUCCAACAGCGCCUCCCGCUGGCAGAGAAUUAAUUUGCAUAUAUAUAUGCCGCCACAAAUAGUGUAAAUCUGUGGGACUGUGGUAUAAAUAAAUUCAGCUGUAUAACAGUUUCACUGCAAUUCAUGUUAUAAUGUUAGAAUUAAAGAACAAUAAGCAUAAUACAUAUUACCGUUGCACUUAUCUGUACAUAGUAAAUGCAUAGUAAAAGGUGAUUUGGCCACAACAACAACAACAACAAUAAUGUUAUGUCUUGCAAUAUCCGUGCGUGCAAAGCUUCUGCGCAAGACGAACUUGCUGUUUUGGCAAGGGGCGGGGCAGUACUGAAACGCCGUCUAAGCUGUCAGCUAACCAAUCACAACACAUUUCGUUUUUCGGAAGGCGGGCCUUCAUCAAACCCAGAACUAAUCGAGCUGUUUGCGCCAGGCUGAGGAGAAAGGCGUAACACACUGUACAGGCUCAUGGCUGGUAGGCUGCCGCACAAGCCCCCAUUGAGGCUGGGCAUUGGGGCCCAGAGGCCAUAGAGCUGGCUGAUGAAGAAGCAGACUGACUUGGCCCUUGGUACCUUGAGGAGGAAGAAAAGAACAAGAAGUUGGCCUUCGUCGGACGAGAGGGGAGUUACUGGAAAAUGAGAGAAAAUACAAUAUCAUCAGAUAAGAACAUCAUCCCUUUUUUUACUGUAAUUUUAGGAAGAAGGUUGUUCUUUUACGUACUUUUUGGAAG